UCUUAUUUUUUUCAUUCAUUACACACCAAGAAAAUUUUUCACGUCAUACGCGUAUCUGCGAAAAAAUUAUUAUAAAUGUUAAAAUAAUAAAAAUAUUAAAGAAAUUUUCACAAAAGUGUUAGGAAAAUGAAAGUUAAACGUUUUAACUAUUAAGUGCAAUAAAAUUUAAGAUGAAAUACCAACAAAAUUAACGUAAAUUUGUUGAAAGAAAAUCUAGUCAUAAUUUUUUUCUUUUCACCCCAAAAAUACAAAAAAAAAAAUAUAACCAUCCACAACACAACCAGAGCACCAGCACAUAGCAGUUGGAAAAAAAAUCUAUCUUUAACUACCUUGAAUUUGACAACAACAAAGUUUCAUAGAAAAAGAUUCGUCAGCAAAUGAAGAAAAAAUUGGCAUAGAAAAAAUGACGAAGAAAAAAGUUGUUAAACAUAUUUAAUAAAUAAUAGUGAUAGUGUUUAAUUGCAAUUUAAAAUAAUAAAUAAAUCUAAUAUUGUGUACAAGGCGUUCAAAAGCUCACAGUGCCAGCCAGCCAGUGUGUGUUUAUAUGUUUUCGAUACCAAAAUAUAAAAGAAAGAAAAUAAAUUGGUGUUUGACAAGGGGUUGUUUGUAAAAUUAUUUUUUUCUUUUACACUUGUGCAUUUUGUCUCCCCAUAUGUGUGUGUGAAAGUGUUGUAUUUAUUCUUGUUCAUCCCUUCGCGCUACACUCUUGCUCCACUGUUUAUACACUUCCUCAAAUAAAAGCACACGUUUGCAAACUUGUGCGAGUGUUUGUGCACAAGUGAGUGACUUGUAUGAGAGGUGGUAAAAAAAGUGACAAGUGAUUUUGCAAAAAUAACAAAAGUAUAGACAACAACAAAAAUAUCAAAACAUCAAAAUGGACAACGACGACACUUUACUGAACAAUCGUGGUCCUCAGCCUGGUGCUGAGACCGUUUAUGGCACCGAUGAUAACAAUAUGGUGAUGUCCGAAAAGAAUGAACAGGUUGUCAGCAUCGUUCAACAAUUGGCUGGCAGUAUUUACCAGGAGUUUGAACGCAUGAUUAAUCGUUACGACGAAGAUGUCGUUAAAAACUUAAUGCCUUUAUUGGUUAAUGUCUUAGAAUGCCUGGAUGCCUCCUAUCGCAUUAAUCAGGAACAGGAUGUUGAAGUGGAAUUGCUAAGGGAAGACAAUGAGCAAUUGGUAACGCAAUAUGAACGUGAAAAAAGUGCUAGAAAACUGGCAGAGCAAAAGCUUUUGGAAUCGGAAGAUUUGGCAGAGCAGGAGAAUAAAGAUUUAGCCAGCCGUUUAGAGUCAUUAGAGAGUAUUGUACGUAUGCUAGAGUUAAAGCAUAAAAAUAGUUUAGAACAUGCCAGCCGUUUGGAGGAAAGAGAAUCGGAAUUGAAAAAAGAAUAUAAUAAACUACAUGAACGGUACACGGAAUUAUUUAAAAAUCAUGUAGAUUAUAUGGAGCGCACCAAAAUGUUAAUGGGCUCUACCCAUUCACAAAUGAGCACAGCUUCGGAUCGAAUGGAAUUAAGUCGUGCUAGACUUAAUCCUGUUGCCAGAUCUUCCGGCCCUGUUUCCUUUGGCUUUGCCUCUUUGGAAAAUUCCGCCAUGUUAGAUACAGAAACUAUCUGUAGUGUUGGCAGUAAUUCCGAUGAUUCUGGUCCACCUUCGCUGCAAAAUGAAUUUGAAAGUUUGCAUACUGUUGAAAAGUCCGCUGAAACUGAUACUUUACAACAGCAAAAUCAAGCCACAUCGCCACAAAGUGAUAGCAGUCCCAUAGUGCCAAAUGCUCCAUCAAAUGUUGGUCGUACAACUACGAAAAAGGAACAACGUUCUGCGAAUACAUUAUAUCAAGAACUCUCCUUUCAAGACAAUGAAGAAAGUGAAGAAAACGAAAUUGUUACAGGGAGCUGGGUACAUCCUGGGGAAUAUGCUUCUUCAGCUAAUGACAACUACUUUGGAAUGGGCAAAGAAGUGGAAAAUCUCAUUAUGGAAAACAAUGAACUUUUGGCUACUAAAAACGCUCUUAACAUUGUCAAAGAUGAUUUGAUAGCCCGUGUCGAUGAGUUAACUGGCGAAAUUGAAAUCUUACGAGAGGAAUUGAAUGCCAUGCAGCAAUCACGCAAUAAAUUGCGUAACAAGGUGCAAGAAUUGGAGGAGGAACUGAAGAAAACCAAAGAACAAGUCAAACAACAAAAUGAUAAUGAUCAAGAUGAAAAUGAUGUACCGUUGGCUCAGCGUAAACGCUUUACACGUGUUGAAAUGGCUAUGGUUCUAAUGGAGCGUAAUCAAUAUAAGGAACGUUUAAUGGAACUGCAAGAAGCUGUGCGUUUGACGGAAAUCUUGAGAGCCACGCGCACUGUUGAUAAUUUGGAUAAGAAGUCUAAGCAAAGCAUUUGGAAAUAUUUUAGUAAUUUAUUCACCCCCUCUAAUCGCCCACAAGAGCGUGUCGCUGAUGGGCAGGGAGGGGGUCCUAUGUUUCGCUACUCAAGCCCAUCUCACUCUCAUGGAUCCCCCAGUAGAAAUAGCGACAGUCGCCUUGCCAUAACUGGUGGUGGAGUCCAUCCUGCCAGUGCUGGUUUAGCCAAUGCUUUAGCCAACAAAGAUUAUGCCGAAGAAGGCACCUCUGAAAGAGCCCGCGCUAGGCGACAUGAGCAAUAUCGUCAACUGAGAGCUCAUGUUCAGAAAGAAGACGGCCGUUUACAUGCUUAUGGCUGGAGUUUGCCGGGUAAUAAGACCGAAAAAGAACAGCAAUCCAGACAUUCUGGUGGUGUACCAGUGCCUGUGUAUUGCAAUCCUUUGGCGGAGGCCUCGCCCCAUAUGAAAGUGUUUUGUGCGGCGGGCGUUAAUCUGAAUGGAGGUUUUACCAAAAAUGGUCAGUCCAUAAUACCAUCUACUUCACCAUAUGCCCCUCGUUCGACGGCAAAAAUUACCGAAAUAACUAGUCCUACAGCUGAGCAUUCGGCCGAGGCAUUAGAUCGUCAAAUAACUCGGUGCAGCCUUGAAAAUCUGGAGCCCGAGACCCAGUUAACCUCUUAUGUUUGGAUAUGCACAAGCACCCAUGCAGCCAGUACUGUGACUGUGGUGGAUGCUAAUCAGUCGGCCACAGUUUUAGAUGUAUUUCCAAUUUGUGCCUCUCAUUUGUUGUGUAUUGCCUCGGUACCCGGUGCCAUGGAGAAGGAUUACGCCCUCCUCGAAAACUCGGAGGUUAUAAAGGCGGGCGAAAUGUUGGAACGACCUGGAGAGGGCAACGAAGGCUUUGGCAAGGUAGAGUUUAUACGUGUUAAACCCAAAACGGAUCCAAAUAGCAAUACCAAAGAAACAGAUCACAAUGAACAAGCCUUAGAGGUGAAUGCUGAAACUCCAGUGGAAGAAAAAGCUAAAGAAGCUACAGAAAAAUCGAAUGAGCAGAAUGGUUCCAUACCGAUUGAACCAUUAGGCAAUGUCAAUGAAAUUAAAAUACGUCAACCGAUACCGGGCAUACCGCAACGUAUCCAUAACGAUGCUACCGACUCUACAACCACUACCAACAAUGCCGCAGAUGCAACAAUCAAUAAUACAACGUCGCAAUUCAGCAAUAACAAUAACUCUUCGAUGAAACAACAAUUGCCGUUCUCAAAACCCAUUAAUCCCAUAUUGGGAACUAAGGACCGUGAGGAACCCGUCAUGAGUUCGGUGGGUCCCACAAUGUGGCUGGGUGCUCAGGACAAUUGGUUGUACGUGCACAGUGCUGUCGGUCGUUGGCACGAGUGUUUGCAUAAAGUUCAUUUGCCCGAUGCCGUCCUAGCGAUAGUUCAUGUUGAGUCACGCGUUGUGGUGGCCCUCGCAAAUGCCCAAUUAGCCGUGUUCCGCCGCCAAACAGACGGCCAAUGGGAUCUGAAUAGUUAUCAUUUGGUGACGCUAGGUGAUCGCAAUCAUUCGAUACGUUGCCUCUGUGUGGCCGGCGAACGCAUAUGGGCCGCCCAUCGCAAUAAGAUCUUUAUUGUGGAUCCGAUCUCUUUAAAUAUUAUCCAUUCGCUGGACGCUCAUCCGCGCAAAGAGAGCCAAGUGCGACAAAUGGCGGCAACAGGUGCUGGUGUUUGGGUUUCAAUCAGAUUGGACUCAACUUUACGUUUAUACAAUACCUACACAUUUGAACACAAUCAGGAUGUGGAUAUAGAACCAUACGUAUCGAAAAUGUUGGGUACUGGCAAAUUGGGUUUCUCAUUUGUACGCAUUACCGCUUUAAUGGUGUCCUGUAAUCGUCUGUGGAUUGGUACUAGUAAUGGAGUUAUUAUCUCUGUACCCUUAUCCGAAGGUCAAGGAAAAUUAAAUGAUCCAAGUAGUCAACUGCCGUUAUGCUGUAUGGCCAAUGCUCAACUGUCUUUUCAUGGACAUCGUGAUGCUGUUAAAUUUUUUGUCUCAGUACCACUGCGUCAAAACAAUAGCGCUCAAUUACAAUUUACCAAUAAGCGACCCGAUAUGCUGGUGAUGUGUGGUGGUGAAGGUUAUAUUGAUUUUCGCAUAAGACAAGAGAGAACUAUAACUGAUGCUAGUGAUAAUGCUGCGCAUUUGAUAGUUUGGAAAGUUGAUUCUUUUAUCAACUGGAACUUUAUAAAUUAACGUUAUACGUUUGCCAAUCAUAUACGAGCGUUAUACAUUGGUUAAAACGCUUACUUAGUUUUGUUUCGAAACAACGAAAAAGGAGUUAUGUGACCUGAAGUAAACCAAGAUGACAAUGAUAUGGAAAAGAGUAUUAAUCUGGAACAAAAUCAGACCAUUGAAAAUCGUGGCGACAAAAGUUAUUUAAUUGUGUGGCAUGUUAGUCAACGUUAACUUUUUUGUUUUGUUAAACAAAAUAACUCAAAAUAGUAAAGGUUUUCAAUAAGUGUUUUUGUUUUUUUUUUUAGUUUUUUAUACAUAAAAAAAAUAUUAGCAAUAUAAACUUAAUUUAUUUUAUUUAGUUUUAAACAUAUUUUUUUGUAAACUAAUAGACACAAAUGUGAAAGAUACAUUAACAGAAAUAAUGUAUUACAGAAAACGUACGUAUAUUAAAACCAUAUAACACCACCAAAUAGUUUUUAAAAUUGAAAUUUUUGCAAGAUUGAAGAACAUGGAUAAAGGACAAACAAGCUUUUUAAUAAUUAACAAA